rnacentral:rRNA from 1 species
AUGGUUCUCGACAUGCAGGACGUGCUCGAGCGCUUCGCGUUCGACACCGUCUGCAUGAUCUCCUUCGGCCACGACCCGUGCUCCCUCGCCGACGACGGGGUCUUGCCAGACGGCAAGUCAGACUUCAUGCGCGCCUUCGUCGAGGCGCAGGACCUCACCGUUAAACGCUGGCUCGAGGUCACCUGGAAGAUCAAGAGGUGGCUCGACAUCGGCAAAGAGCGCCGCCUGAGGAAGGCCAUCGCCGAUGUACACGGGUUCGCCAUGGACAUCGUCCGCACCCGCCGUCAAAGCUCGUCUGGGAAUAACAGAGAUGACCUUCUUUCAAGGCUCGUGGCGAGCGGCGAUCACGGCGAUGAGGCGCUCCGGGACAUCGUCCUCAGCUUCCUGCUAGCCGGCCGCGAGACGACGUCCUCGGCUCUGACGUGGUUCUUCUGGCUCGUCUCUUCCCGGCCGGACGUUGUCGCGCGCAUCGCCGACGAGGUCCGCUCGGUUCGGUCCACAACGGGCACCCGCCCUGGCGAUCCGUUCACGUUCGACGCACUCCGGAGCAUGCAGUACCUGCACGCCGCGCUCACCGAGUCGAUGAGGCUCUACCCACCGGUGGCGAUCGACUCCUCCGAGACAUGUGCGGCGGAUGACACGCUCCCCGAUGGCACGCACGUCGGUGCAGGAUGGUCCAUCACAUACAGCGCAUACGCCAUGGGGCGGCUCGCCACGAUAUGGGGCACGGACUGCGCCGAGUUCAAGCCCGAGCGGUGGCUCGACGACCAUGGGGCUUUCCGGCCGGUGAGCCCGUUCCUAUACGCGGUGUUCCACGCCGGACCCAGGACGCGCCUUGGGAAGGAGAUGGCAUACGUGCAGAUGAAGUCCAUUGUCGCCGGUGUUCUCGAAGAAUUCGUGGUCGACGUCACCGGCAGUGGCGUGCCGGAGCACGCGCUUUCGAUAACCCUGAGGAUGAAGGGUGGCUUGCCUGUCCAAAUAAGCACAUGGCUGGAAGUCUAG